AUUGAACGCUGGCGGCAUGCCUUACACAUGCAAGUCGAACGGCAGCACGGGUGCUUGCACCUGGUGGCGAGUGGCGAACGGGUGAGUAAUACAUCGGAACAUGUCCUGUAGCGGGGGAUAGCCCGGCGAAAGCCGGAUUAAUACCGCAUACGAUCUACGGAUGAAAGCGGGGGCCCUUCGGGCCUCGCGCUUUAGGGUUGGCCGAUGGCUGAUUAGCUAGUUGGUGGGGUAAAGGCCUACCAAGGCGACGAUCAGUAGCUGGUCUGAGAGGACGACCAGCCACACUGGAACUGAGACACGGCCCAGACUCCUACGGGAGGCAGCAGUGGGGAAUUUUGGACAAUGGGCGAAAGCCUGAUCCAGCAAUGCCGCGUGUGUGAAGAAGGCCUUCGGGUUGUAAAGCACUUUUGUCCGGAAAGAAAUCCUUGGCCCUAAUACGGUCGGGGGAUGACGGUACCGGAAGAAUAAGCACCGGCUAACUACGUG
rnacentral:rRNA from 1 species